rnacentral:rRNA from 1 species
UACGGAGGGUGCGAGCGUUGUCCGGAAUCACUGGGCGUAAAGGGCGCGUAGGUGGCGGCCCAAGUCAACGGUGAAAGCUCGGCGCUCAACGCCGAGUCGGCCGUCGAUACUGGGUUGCUUGAGCACUGUAGGGGCCAAUGGAAUUCCGGGUGUAGCGGUGGAAUGCGUAGAGAUCCGGAAGAACACCGGUGGCGAAGGCGGUUGGCUGGGCAGGUGCUGACACUGAGGCGCGACAGCGUGGGGAGCAAACAGGG